GAUGAACGCUGGCGGCGUGCCUAAUACAUGCAAGUCGAGCGAACAGAUGAGGAGCUUGCUCCUCUGACGUUAGCGGCGGACGGGUGAGUAACACGUGGAUAACCUACCUAUAAGACUGGGAUAACUUCGGGAAACCGGAGCUAAUACCGGAUAAUAUAUUGAACCGCAUGGUUCAAUAGUGAAAGACGGUUUUGCUGUCACUUAUAGAUGGAUCCGCGCCGCAUUAGCUAGUUGGUAAGGUAACGGCUUACCAAGGCAACGAUGCGUAGCCGACCUGAGAGGGGGAUCGGCCACACUGGAACUGAUACACGGUCCAGACUCCUACGGGAGGCAGCAGUAGGGAAUCUUCCGCAAUGGUCGAAAGCCUGACGGAGCAACGCCGCGUGAGUGAUGAAGGUCUUCGGAUCGUAAAACUCUGUUAUUAGGGAAGAACAAAUGUGUAAGUAACUAUGCACGUCUUGACGGUACCUAAUCAGAAAGCCACGGCUAACUACGUG
rnacentral:rRNA from 1 species